GCGGUUCUAUUUUGUUGGUUUCUAGAGUCGCCGUAAUGAUUAAUAGGGAUAGUUGGGGGCAUUAGUAUUCAGUUGCUAGAGGUGAAAUUCUUGGAUUUACUGAAGACUAACUACUGCGAAAGCAUUUGCCAAGGAUGUUUUCAUUAAUCAAGAACGAAGGUUAGGGGAUCGAAAACGAUCAGAUACCGUUGUAGUCUUAACAGUAAACUAUGCCGACUAGGGAUCGGACGGU
rnacentral:rRNA from 14 species